ACUGAGUGACAGCAUGAGGAGGACUAGCAACACCAACUCUACCUUUCACACACUGACUAACUGGUGGUCCUGAACUCAACAAGAACAAGUUUCAUUUAUUUUGGUUUUGGGGUGGGGAUGCUAUCGCUUUUUUUUCCAGGUUUUGCAACAUCCAGACCCUCAGCCAUCAAAACUGUCAAUUGAAACCAAUAGAAGCCAUACUUGUUUUUGUGUGUGAUUUACAUAGGGUGUUUGUUCUAUGUUCCACUUUUCAGUGUGUGUGAGAUUGAUAGUGAUAAAGGAAGGUGUGUGUGUAUCGCACCAGUCUCAGCAUGCUUUCUGUUGAUUCUGUGAAACUAUAAAGUACCCUGCCUUAACAGAUCUGUGAUUCCAUAGAAGUGAAACGAACUGUGAUGUUGUUACACCUCCCUCUCUGUAUAGCUUGUACCUCACGGUCUUCUUCGUCUUCUCUCUCACAGCAAAGACCUUGGAAGUCGACAGCUUUUAUCCCCUCUAUACCUGCCUCCUACACAACAAACCCUGAGACAUACUGCAGUGUGAGCUCAGCAGCCAUCGCUGUAGCUGUCAUCCACAAAAGAAUGCAGUCUCAAAGUACUGAUGUGGGUCAGAGCCCAGGGGAGGUUUAGCUGGUGGUAACUGAGCCCAGUCUGACGCAGCAGCCCGGGGGUGUGCUUUCAUCUUAAGACAGGUGUGUGUGUGGAUCCUGUGCGUGGAGCAGUCAUUUGUGCAGCCUUUGGUAUCUGUGUGAUGCCCAGAUACUGAGAGCACAGUGGGCCAAUGGUCACUAGCAUUGUCCCAGACCCAGUACUUACCUCAGCCUCUACCUCAGGCCCAGCCCCAGGCUUUACCAUAGCAUGUGAGGCUGGAUCCCCUGAGCCCAGAAACACCACCUAACUCUCUUUGCAUGUUCUCGGGGUGUGAUAGUUGGUGUGGAUGAGGACAUGGCCUACUCCUGGCCAGUCUGCAGCUUAUGUGGGAGUAACUGCUUGGAGAUGGCACCCCAAAAGCUCUCCAGCAGAGCACCGUCAUGUCUGUGUUGUACUCUGCAGCCUCUGGCCAUGAGGUGAGUUCUCUCUCUCUGCUGUUUUCUAGCUCCAGCAGAGCACCGUCAUGUCUGUGUUGUACUCUGCAGCCUCUGGCCAUGAGGUGAGUUCUCUCUCUCUGCUGUUUUCUAGCUCCAGCAGAGCACCGUCAUGUCUGUGUUGUACUCUGCAGCCUCUGGCCAUGAGGUGAGUUCUCUCUCUCUGCUGUUUUCUAGCUCCAGCAGAGCACCGUCAUGUCUGUGUUGUACUCUGCAGCCUCUGGCCAUGAGGUGAGUUCUCUCUCUCUGCUGUUUUCUAGCUCCAGCAGAGCACCGUCAUGUCUGUGUUGUACUCUGCAGCCUCU